CCUACGGGGUGCAGCAGUGAGGAAUAUUGGUCAAUGGACGAGAGUCUGAACCAGCCAAGUAGCGUGAAGGAUGACUGCCCUAUGGGUUGUAAACUUCUUUUAUAUGGGAAUAAAAUGUUCCACGUGUGGGAUUUUGUAUGUACCAUAUGAAUAAGGAUCGGCUAACUCCGUGCCAGCAGCCGCGGUAAUACGGAGGAUCCGAGCGUUAUCCGGAUUUAUUGGGUUUAAAGGGAGCGUAGGUGGAUUGUUAAGUCAGUUGUGAAAGUUUGCGGCUCAACCGUAAAAUUGUAGUUGAAACUGGCAGUCUUGAGUACAGUAGAGGUGGGCGGAAUUCGUGGUGUAGCGGUGAAAUGCUUAGAUAUCACGAAGAACUCCGAUUGCGAAGGCAGUUCACUGGACUGCAACUGACACUGAGGCUCGAAAGUGUGGGUAUCAAACAGGAUUAGAUACCCCAGUAGUC
rnacentral:rRNA from 1 species